rnacentral:rRNA from 1 species
UACGGAGGGAGCUAGCGUUGUUCGGAAUUACUGGGCGUAAAGCGCGCGUAGGCGGCUUUCUAAGUCGGGGGUGAAAUCCUGGAGCUCAACUCCAGAACUGCCUUCGAUACUGGAGAGCUUGAGUCCGGGGGAGGUGAGUGGAACUGCGAGUGUAGAGGUGAAAUUCGUAGAUAUUCGCAAGAACACCAGUGGCGAAGGCGGCUCACUGGCCCGGUACUGACGCUGAGGUGCGAAAGCGUGGGGAGCAAACAGG